rnacentral:rRNA from 1 species
AGUGAACGCUGGCGGUAGGCCUAACACAUGCAAGUCGAACGGCAGCACAGUAAGAGCUUGCUCUUACGGGUGGCGAGUGGUGGACGGGUGAGGAAUACAUCGGAAUCUACUUUUUCGUGGGGGAUAACGUAGGGAAACUUACGCUAAUACCGCAUACGACCUACGGUUGAAAGCAGGGGAUCUUCGGACCUUGCGCGAUUGAAUGAGCCGAUGUCGGAUUAGCUAGUUGGCGGGGUAAAGGCCCACCAAGGCGACGAUCCGUAGCUGGUCUGAGAGGAUGAUCAGCCACACUGGAACUGAGACACGGUCCAGACUCCUACGGGAGGCAGCAGUGGGGAAUAUUGGACAAUGGGCGCAAGCCUGGUCCAGCCAUACCGCGUGGGUGAAGAAGGCCUUCGGGUUGUAAAGCCCUUUUGUUGGGAAAGAAAAGCAGCAGGUUAAUACCCCGCUGUUCUGACGGUACCCAAAGAAUAAGCACCGGCUAACUUCGUG